AGAUGCAGUGUACCCGCGGCAAGACGGAAAGACCCCGUGAACCUUUACUAUAGCUUGACACUGAACAUUGAGCCUUGAUGUGUAGGAUAGGUGGGAGGCUUUGAAGUGUGGACGCCAGUCUGCAUGGAGCCGACCUUGAAAUACCACCCUUUAAUGUUUGAUGUUCUAACGUGGACCCGUAAUCCGGGUUGCGGACAGUGUCUGGUGGGUAGUUUGACUGGGGCGGUCUCCUCCUAAAGAGUAACGGAGGAGCACGAAGGUUGGCUAAUCCUGGUCGGACAUCAGGAGGUUAGUGCAAUGGCAUAAGCCAGCUUGACUGCGAGCGUGACGGCGCGAGCAGGUGCGAAAGCAGGUCAUAGUGAUCCGGUGGUUCUGAAUGGAAGGGCCAUCGCUCAACGGAUAAAAGGUACUCCGGGGAUAACAGGCUGAUACCGCCCAAGAGUUCAUAUCGACGGCGGUGUUUGGCACCUCGAUGUCGGCUCAUCACAUCCUGGGGCUGAAGUAGGUCCCAAGGGUAUGGCUGUUCGCCAUUUAAAGUGGUACGCGAGCUGGGUUUAGAACGUCGUGAGACAGUUCGGUCCCUAUCUGCCGUGGGCGCUGGAGAACUGAGGGGGGCUGCUCCUAGUACGAGAGGACCGGAGUGGACGCAUCACUGGUGUUCGGGUUGUCAUGCCAAUGGCACUGCCCGGUAGCUAAAUGCGGAAGAGAUAAGUGCUGAAAGCAUCUAAGCACGAAACUUGCCCCGAGAUGAGUUCUCCCUGAGACUUAGAGUCUCCUGAAGGAACGUUGAAGACGACGACGUUGAUAGGCCGGGUGUGUAAGCGCAGCGAUGCGUUGAGCUAACCGGUACUAAUGAACCGUGAGGCUUAACCUUACAAC
rnacentral:rRNA from 1 species